GCCCCCUUCGUCUAGUGGCCCAGGACGUCGGGUUCUCAGCCCGAAAACAGGGGUUCGACUCCCCUAGGGGGUGCCU
rnacentral:tRNA from 2 species